UGCGACCCAAGGCUGGAGACUUUCUUCAACAAAGAUGGCUGACAAAAAUACUAGGACGGAAACAAAUGGACAACCAACAAACCAGGCUGUCAUCUUCUGAAACAGUGGAUGUAAAGAAUCUAGCUAGCUAAAUCAUUUACUGCAAAUUGAAUGUGCAAUUUUUUAAGCUUGCCUUGCUGAUAUUUGCCAUGCAAUGCAGUUGAAGUAACGUAGCUAGCUAACUAUUUUCUUGCAGUGGUGGAUUAAAAUACCUGUAUGCCUAUGUAACAGUGUAGGUUCCGUCCCUCUCUUCGCCCCAACCUGGGCUCGAACCAGGGACCCUCUGCACACAUCAACAACUGACACCCCACGAAGCAUCGUUACCCAUCGCGCCACAAAAGCCGCGGCCCUUGCAGAGCAAAGGGGAACAACUACUUCAGGUCUCAGAGCGAGUGACGUCACCGACUGAAACGCUAUUAGCGCGCACCACCGCUAACUAACUAGCCAUUUCACAUCGGUUACACUUAUGGAUGUGUAGCCGAUGUGUGUAUGGGACCCUAAAACGUUUGGUAUAAAUAUUAGUUCAGAACCUCAGCUAUCAUAGCUGGUUGUAUCAACUUCAAAACAGUCUGAAUGACACGAAUGAGGCCUAUGGAUUGAGUAGAAUACAAUAUCAUGUUGUACCAAGGGUGCAAGUCGUAUAUACAUGUAGUUAUUACCAUGCAUGAGAUUCCCCACAUUGUAGCCUGUACAUUUAAUAUAUUCACUGAUCAUGUACUCUACCUUGGCAAAUAAAGGUGCAGUUUAGGUA